rnacentral:rRNA from 1 species
AUUGAACGCUGGCGGCAUGCUUUACACAUGCAAGUCGAACGGCAGCGCGGGCUUCGGCCUGGCGGCGAGUGGCGAACGGGUGAGUAAUGCAUCGGAACGUGCCCAGUAGUGGGGGAUAGCCCGGCGAAAGCCGGAUUAAUACCGCAUACGACCUGAGGGUGAAAGCGGGGGACCGAAAGGCCUCGCGCCAUUGGAGCGGCCGAUGUCGGAUUAGCGAGUUGGUGGGGUAAAGGCUUACCAAGGCGACGAUCCGUAGCUGGUCUGAGAGGACGACCAGCCACACUGGGACUGAGACACGGCCCAGACUCCUACGGGAGGCAGCAGUGGGGAAUUUUGGACAAUGGGGGCAACCCUGAUCCAGCCAUGCCGCGUGCGGGAAGAAGGCCUUCGGGUUGUAAACCGCUUUUGUUCGGGAAGAAAUCCUCUGGGCUAAUACCCCGGGGGGAUGACGGUACCGGAAGAAUAAGCACCGGCUAACUACGUG